rnacentral:lncRNA from 1 species
CCUGAACUGUCCCUGUGUCCUUCUGUGCCUGUGUGUGGGAACUCUAAAAUGAACACUGAGCUUUGAAAGUGUCUCCGUCUUUGUUUGUGUGAACCUGCAGAAACUGAAACGUAGUGUGGUCUGAUGUAGGCGUCUCUAGGACCAGGCCACUUCCUGAUGUCAUUUCCUGCUUCUCUGUCUGUGUUUCAGUCGCCAUCGUCUCACACUCUUCUGCAACAUCUGAUGACGACGAUUCUCAUACAGGUAGGACGGAUCACUCUGGACCUCACAUCUGUCCGGGUUGCUUCUGGACCAACAGCAGAAAAAGGUCAAUCCGGACAUGACCUCACUCAGAGGACGACCACUGACAAUGUGCGGCGCUCUCUGAUUGUCAUGUGUGGUACCAGGAGUAAGAAUAUGUGACUGCUCCUGAUCCAGAACACAACUUCUUCUUCCUCUGUCCUCCUGAGGAAGACUGUGAGGCUCUUCUCAGGGAGGACAGAUGACAGAGACAGAAACACACAGACAAACAACCAAGGACACACACACACAGUCUCUUACUGCUGAAGUGUGUGCUUCCUCUUCACAGUGAUUGACAGCUGAGGAGGCAGAGCCAGCAAAGGCCUUCAGCAGUGCAGUCAGGUGGCAGCCAUGUUGGUCCUGGUCCGGUUAUUGAUUUUGAUUAUGAUGAUGAUGAUGAUGAUGAAGAGUGACGCCUCUUCAGACGUCAUGACUGUGUCAAGCGGCGACACCGUUCUGCUGGAUCCGGACCUGGUCCCGGUGGAGAAGCAUUGGGACAUCAGGUGGACCCACUGCCACCUGGUGCUGAACAAGGACAAGAAGACCUGCCACCACAGACGCUGCGAGCUGCUCACAAACGGGACGCUGAGAUUCGAACAAGUCCAGCCGCAAGAUGCAGGAAACUACACGGUGGAGGUGUUUGACAAGGAAGGAAUCAGACAGGCAAAGAGAUACUUCCUGCUGCAGGUGGAGGAGAGCAGCAGCAGCAUCAGCAGCAACAACAGUGUAGUGAGG